rnacentral:rRNA from 1 species
UGGGGAAUUUUGGACAAUGGGCGAAAGCCUGAUCCAGCAAUGCCGCGUGUGUGAAGAAGGCCUUCGGGUUGUAAAGCACUUUUGUCCGGAAAGAAAUCCUCUGGGUUAAUACCUCGGGGGGAUGACGGUACCGGAAGAAUAAGCACCGGCUAACUACGUGCCAGCAGCCGCGGUAAUACGUAGGGUGCAAGCGUUAAUCGGAAUUACUGGGCGUAAAGCGUGCGCAGGCGGUUUUGUAAGACGGAUGUGAAAUCCCCGGGCUUAACCUGGGAACUGCAUUCGUGACUGCAAGGCUAGAGUAUGGCAGAGGGGGGUAGAAUUCCACGUGUAGCAGUGAAAUGCGUAGAGAUGUGGAGGAAUACCGAUGGCGAAGGCAGCCCCCUGGGCCAAUACCUGACGCUCAUGCACGAAAGCGUGGGGAGCAAACAGGAUU